CUUAUGAAGAGUUUGAUCCUGGCUCAGAACGAACGCUGGUGGCGUGUCUGAUGCAUGCAAGUCGAGCGAGUCGGGGGCAACCCUAGGCGAGCG
rnacentral:rRNA from 1 species